UAGGGAAUCUUCGGCAAUGGGGGGAACCCUGACCGAGCAACGCCGCGUGAGUGAAGAAGGUUUUCGGAUCGUAAAGCUCUGUUGUUAAGGAAGAACGAGUGUGAGAAUGGAAAGUUCAUACUGUGACGGUACUUAACCAGAAAGGGACGGCUAACUACGUGCCAGCAGCCGCGGUAAUACGUAGGUCCCGAGCGUUGUCCGGAUUUAUUGGGCGUAAAGCGAGCGCAGGCGAUUAGAUAAGUCUGAAGUUAAAGGCAGUGGCUCAACCAUUGUAGGCUUUGGAAACUGUUUAACUUGAGUGCAGAAGGGGAGAGUGGAAUUCCAUGUGUAGCGGUGAAAUGCGUAGAUAUAUGGAGGAACACCGGUGGCGAAAGCGGCUCUCUGGUCUGUAACUGACGCUGAGGCUCGAAAGCGUGGGGAGCGAACAGG
rnacentral:rRNA from 1 species